rnacentral:rRNA from 1 species
UACGGAGGGGGCUAGCGUUAUUCGGAAUUAUUGGGCGUAAAGGGCGCGUAGGCGGCCCGGUAAGUCAAAGGUGAAAUCCCUCGGCUCAACUGAGGAACUGCCUUUGAAACUGUCGGGCUUGAGGCCGGGAGGGGGUAGCGGAAUUCCCAGUGUAGCGGUGAAAUGCGUAGAUAUUGGGAGGAACACCAGUGGCGAAGGCGGCUACCUGGACCGGUUCUGACGCUGAUGCGCGAAAGCGUGGGGAGCAAACAGG